rnacentral:RNase_P_RNA from 1 species
CUUGGGCAAUCGCUGGUAAUAAUAAUUAUUAGAGGAAAGUCCAUGCUCGCACAAUCUGAGAUGAUUGUAGUGUUUACGCUAGUUUAAUAAAUAAGGCUAGGCAAUUUAAUUGACGGCUGAGUCGAUUCCUAAGGUGCAAACUAUGGAUAAGACCUUUAAAAGUGUCACAGUGACGUAGUCCUUUUGGAAACUUAAGGAGUGGAACGAGAUAAACCCCGUAAGCGAGAAACCCAAAAUAGGUAGGGGAACUUCACGAAGGCGAAUUCAAGCUUGUAGUGCGGACAUUUUAUAUGUAGAUAAAUGAUUGCCACCACUUGUGGUACAAAACAUGGCUUAUAG